GUUGUUUAUUGCGUGUCUUUUUUUCUUUUCUUUUUCUUUUGUUGCUUUCUGUGUGUUUUUAGCAGUGGGCUUGAAGGAGGAGAGAAGAAAAGGCAAGAUAGAUGGAAUGACCGAGUUGUACAUUUUUUUUUUGUCUA
rnacentral:ribozyme from 1 species